rnacentral:rRNA from 1 species
GUGGGGAAUCUUGCGCAAUGGGCGCAAGCCUGAUCCAGCCAUGCCGCGUGCAGGAUGAAGGCCUUCGGGUUGUAAACUGCUUUUGUACGGAACGAAACGGCUCUUUCUAAUAAAGAGGGCUAAUGACGGUACCGUAAGAAUAAGCACCGGCUAACUACGUGCCAGCAGCCGCGGUAAUACGUAGGGUGCGAGCGUUAAUCGGAAUUACUGGGCGUAAAGCGUGCGCAGGGGGUGAUGUAAGACAGAUGUGUAAUCCCCGGGCUCAACCUGGGAACUGCAUUUGUGACUGCAUCGCUGGAGUUCGGCAGAGGGGGAUGGAAUUCCGCGUGUAGCAGUGAAAUGCGUAGAUAUGCGGAGGAACACCGAUGGCGAAGGCAAUCCCCUGGGCCUGCACUGACGCUCAUGCACGAAAGCGUGGGGAGCAAACAGGAUUAGAAACCCGGGUAGUCC